rnacentral:rRNA from 1 species
AUACGGAGGGAGCGAGCGUUAAUCGGAAUUACUGGGCGUAAAGCGCGCGUAGGCGGCUUUGUAAGUCGGAUGUGAAAGCCCUGGGCUCAACCUGGGAAUGGCAUUCGAUACUGCAUAACUAGAGUAUGGUAGAGGGAAGUGGAAUUUCCGGUGUAGCGGUGAAAUGCGUAGAUAUCGGAAGGAACACCAGUGGCGAAGGCGACUUCCUGGGCCAAUACUGACGCUGAGGUGCGAAAGCGUGGGGAGCAAACAGGAUUAGAUACCCCGGUAGUCC